GGCCUUCUUGUUCUUACCACAGGCUGUGUUCUUACACUGAUUGUUCAGAAAUAGGAGGCAAAGUAAAUCUACUCCAUAUCCACCUCAACUCAGGCCCUGUGCCUGGUCUGUGUUGUGAAUGGGGAGACAUAG
rnacentral:snoRNA from 1 species